rnacentral:misc_RNA from 1 species
GAUGAAGAACGCAGCGAAAUGCGAAAAGUAGUGUGAAUUGCAGAAUUCAGUGAAUCAUCGAAUCUUUGAACGCACAUUGCGCCCCUUGGUAUUCCAUGGGGCAUGCCUGUUCGAGCGUCAUCUACACCCUCAAGCUCUGCUUGGUGUUGGGCGUCUGUCCCGCCUCUGCGCGCGGACUCGCCCCAAAUUCAUUGGCAGCGGUCCUUGCCUCCUCUCGCGCAGCACAUUGCGCUUCUCGAGGUGCGCGGCCCGCGUCCACGAAGCAACAUUACCGUCUUUGACCUCGGAUCAGGUAGGGAUACCCGCUGAACUUAAGCAUAUCAAUAAGCGGAGGA